rnacentral:ribozyme from 5 species
AAAGGAUAACAAGGGGCCAGAGCAGAAGCAUUCACGUCGCGGCCCCUGUCAGAUUCUGGUGAAUCUGCGAAUUCUGCU